CAUUGAGACGCUGUCCCAUUUCCUGGAUGAGGUUGGCCGCCUGCUGGCGGUACGAGAGCUCUUUAUCUGCCUCCACUCCGCAGCGGCGGCUCGGCGUGUUCUCCAGCUGUUCUCGAGUAAAGAACCAGCGAGAAGAAGCUCCACGGCCCGACGCCAUGACACUUCCUCCUCCGCCCGCUCCCUCACCCACCCCCCCUCCCUUCCCGGCUCGCGGACUCCCCGCCAAGGCCGCGCGACCCCGCCCCACUCCGCUCGCCGUAGACCACGCACCGCCCCUCGUCACCCCCUCUUCCGCCCGUGCGCGUGCGCGCGGGGCCGCCCUACCGGUUCGCUCUAGUCUUUUGCUUUCUUUUUAAUGACCCCGGCCUCGCUCUUGUUCACGGGACCACAAUGCUCCGCGCCUCUUGUCAUUUGGAGGCGCCCGAAGGAGAAGACUUUUGACGGGGAAUCAUGUUUAGAAUACUUUGAAUAAACACAGUUUCCUUCCCUGCAAAUUACUCCCUGACUUCUGAAUACCACAUUUUUCUGGUUUUCCUCCCUCACUGGGCAUCACUCAGCUUCCAGUGCUGGCCAUUUCCAUCUGACUUCCAAAUGCUGGUGAAUUCCAGGAAUUAGUCUCGGGUUCUUUUGGGUUUCUGCUCUACUUUUUCUCUCAGUGAUUUCGUCCAGUCUCAUUUCUUUAAAUACUUUCUAUACCCUGAUGGCCUCCCCUACCUUCCCUCUUCAACCCUCCAGAAUAGCAUACCUACAGCUUACUGGGCAUUCCUACCUAAGUGCCUAAGACACAUCUGAAAUAUAACAAAUCCAACAACAAGACUAUUGAAUCAGAGCUGCAGCUGCCUGCCUACACCACAGCCAAAGCAACACACGAUCUGAGCUGUGUCUGCAACCUUCACCACAGCUCACAGCAACACCAACUACUCAACCCACUGAGGGGCCAGGGAUGGAACCCUCAUCCUCGUGGAUACUGAUCAGACUUCAGCCAGAGGUACAUGAACCACAGAUGUUCAUCACCCUUCUCAGGACCACGUUCCUUUUUGGCAGCCCAGGUGGGAUGACCAGAAAUGAAGUAAGUAGAACAAGGCAACCCUGGUACUGCCCUGCUCAGGCUCCACAGCUCACUGUACACAUUCUGCUUAGCAUUUUAAACUAAAAGAGCUUCUGGUGAAAGCAAAUUACAUCCUGAAACUUUUCUCCAGAAUAGGUAAGUUCUCAUUUAGUCUGAAACCUAUGUUCCCAUAGUUUUGCCUUCUUAAUCUAUUUCCCAUCUUCAAAACCUAAACACACCUUAUCCAUCCUUAUAGACUCUGCCCAAGUUCCAGCUUCUGUGAAGAUCUGACCCAAAUUUGAAUCCAAAUGAAUUUUUCUUUCUGAUGCUUCUGUGACGUGAAUAUUUUAUUGCUUAGUAGUUAUUCCAUGAACAUGUAUCCUGCUCUAGAGGUUAUGGAAUAUCUAUAUCAUUUAUUGUUUUUGGAAUCUAAAGCAUUACCAGCUCACUUCUGGGCUAAUAGGAGGUGCUAAAAGUAGGCAAAAAGAGGGCCCUAUUCACAUAUACUUGCUCAAAGUGGAAAACCUGCUGGAACCCUCUAAGAUGAAUCUUUUUUCUUCUCCAUAUAAAUCUUUAAUGACAUUUUGGUUUUUAUUUCUGCCAUUAAUUUAAAAAGUGCUAGGAAAAUAAUUUCUUAUUUGCACAUGAAAUAAUGCAGUGCUUUUCAGAAUAAAAACACAUGAGUCAUUUUUGUGAUGAAUAAUUUGGUAUAUUUGGGUAUAUUCUAUUUCUGGAUAAAUAGUUCAAAUAGGAUUUUAGUAAUGCAUGUGUGAUACAUACUUAAAAACAAAAAUAAAGUAUCUUCUUGAGUGUUUGCCUUUGUUGUAAAUUCAGUCAUUCAAAUUGUUGUCUCUCAAGACCCAAAAAUGCUAGGGCAUUGCCAGCUUUGAGUUUAUCCUGAAAAAAUGAAAAGGAAAGAUUUUAAUUCAAAGCAUUAUUUAAUGAUUUUUAAUAAAUAUUUAUUAAAUAUCUUUAUCAGAUUUAAAAAAAUCAAUUCUCUAAUGUGAUAGAAAAAUAUUAUUAGCAGGUUAAACAGUAAGUCUCUUUGCCCAUGUUUUACCCUACUACUAUUUUUAAAAUUAUAGUCAUAUAUUUGUAUUGAAUAAUCUUUUAAAAGCAAAAAUAUAAAUGAUGUAUGGUAUAUUUGUGCUUUUAUGAUUUUCCCUGCUUCUCAAAUAUGUCGACAAUCAUGGACAAAACAGCUGGAGUUUUUGAAUUUCUGAACAUGGAAAUAAUAUGUAUUUAUGUUACAAGCA